GCUUUCAGAGAUUGCUUAGCUGGUAGAGCUUAUGACUCUUAAUCUGCGGGUCAUGGGUUUGAGUCCCACAUUGGGCA